GGAGAGUUGGAAACCCAGCAGGACAGGCCACAGUUAGUGAGGCUGAAGGACUGUGUGUCUGAUGUCUGCGGCACGGACCGCAAACGAAAGAAACAACUGGCUCCUUUCAAACGGACUGGCUGUGCUGCCACAAACCCACUGUACAGUUUUCAACCUGUGAUAACGUCUGGACUAACGGGACAUUGUGACAUGAAAAACAUUAGCGUCCACAAUGAAAAGGCUGACAGACACCUACCCUGGAUGAGGUCAGGUUCAGGUCCCCCCAGAUGACGAACCCUGCAGCUCCCAGAGCAGCGCUCUCCCCGAUGGUGUGGAUCAAAUCCUUCUGCAGGAAACACGUGGCAUCAGAAGAGGAUCAGACGCGAAAUGCUUCAUCAGCUCAAGAGACGCCUCAAAGCGCUGAAGAAAGCUCCAACUGGACGGAAACCAUGAAACCCUUUGAUCAGGAACCGUCGGGUUCAAACACACAGUGAAUGACUCAGCAUGAAUCACACACGAAGCUGCUCGCACCAUUCUAACCAGAGCAAAGAGGAGCCUUUUAAGAACUUCUCCCGGUGCCUCGUGUGGUCGCGCGUCGUGUUCCUCACGCGAGAGCCUGAAAACAAAAGCUGGAGAACAUUAACCGCCACAGCCGAAGUCUUUCCACCCAGCGGAGCCAAAGCCCAUCACAGCGGCUCCAGAAAGUCCCCUGCCAGGAGCACACACGGCGCUGAGGCUGGGGCUGCGGUGAGUCGUCAGAUGAACAAAACAGACAGGGAGCCUCAGCGGAGCAACCACUGGGGGUGAAAACAGGGAAGGUGUGAGGCUGUGGCCUGAUGAAGGACCCACGGAGGCUCUUUGUGCUUCAGAGGCCCACAGACACAGACAGACAACUAUCAUGCAUGACUUUGGCUUUUGACUGUGGGAGGGAAGUGGAGCCCGUGCUUUUUGCAGGUCACAAGCUGAUACUGUGAUGUCAGUGAGUGGGAGCUCAGAAGCAGGAGGAGGAUUCCCCAGAGAAGCACCUACAGAAACAAGAGGGCAUUGACUGGCAUCUGGUCAGCUCCUCAUUCUCUAAUUUCGUGGCACAGUCCUUUGAUCUUUAACCUCAGUCUCUCGGUGGAGAACAGGCUGCAAAACAACACGCUCCCAUAAACAGAGAAGUGCUAUAAAAAGCGCUGAUGAACUUUAAUGUCCUCGUCAUGCUUUGCUGGCUGUCACUGCUGAGUCAGGGCAUCUGAUAGAUGACUUCACUGCACACAAACGAGAUCUUUAACAUCUCGAGGUAAAACACCCAUCAGUCUCCUGCUGCGUAUCCACUUUCUACAUGAGACAAACUCUUUCCACUUUGAGGUUAUUGUUUAGGGCAGGCCAACAUUCCUGUCUGGAGGCCGCCCCCCCUUCCUUGCCUUCCUGCAUCCCAGGCGUCUCUCAGCACCCUGAGUUCCUCCUGACUCAGGGCUUAAAACAGACUUUGAGUUGUGCAUUUCUGUUUAUUACGCAGCUGCGUAAAAGUCAAACCUCAUACAAGAUAAAACAAACCCAGUACCUUCAAACAGCAGCUCACCU